rnacentral:rRNA from 1 species
UCGGGAAUUUUGGGCAAUGGGCGAAAGCCUGACCCAGCAACGCCGCGUGAAGGAUGAAGUAUUUCGGUAUGUAAACUUCGAAAGAAUAGGAAGAAUAAAUGACGGUACUAUUUAUAAGGUCCGGCUAACUACGUGCCAGCAGCCGCGGUAAUACGUAGGGUGCGAGCGUUAAUCGGAAUUACUGGGCGUAAAGCGUGCGCAGGCGGUUGUGUAAGACAGGUGUGAAAUCCCCGGGCUUAACCUGGGAACUGCGCUUGUGACUGCACGGCUAGAGUAUGGCAGAGGGGGGUGGAAUUCCACGUGUAGCAGUGAAAUGCGUAGAGAUGUGGAGGAACACCGAUGGCGAAGGCAGCCCCCUGGGCCAAUACUGACGCUCAUGCACGAAAGCGUGGGGAGCAAACAGGAUUAGAUACCCCCGUAGUCCCUGAGCGGGCUGGCAAGGCGCAU